rnacentral:rRNA from 1 species
GACGAACGCUGGCGGCGUGCUUAACACAUGCAAGUCGAACGGAAAGGCCCUGCUUUUGUGGGGUGCUCGAGUGGCGAACGGGUGAGUAACACGUGAGUAACCUGCCCUUGACUUUGGGAUAACUUCAGGAAACUGGGGCUAAUACCGGAUAGGAGCUCCUGCUGCAUGGUGGGGGUUGGAAAGUUUCGGUGGUUGGGGAUGGACUCGCGGCUUAUCAGCUUGUUGGUGGGGUAGUGGCUUACCAAGGCUUUGACGGGUAGCCGGCCUGAGAGGGUGACCGGCCACAUUGGGACUGAGAUACGGCCCGGACUCCUACGGGAGGCAGCAGUGGGGAAUAUUGCACAAUGGGCGGAAGCCUGAUGCAGCAACGCCGCGUGCGGGAUGACGGCCUUCGGGUUGUAAACCGCUUUCGCCUGUGGCGAAGCGUGAGUGACGGUAAUGGGUAAAGAAGCACCGGCUAACUACGUG